rnacentral:tmRNA from 1 species
GGGGGUGACUUGGUUUCGACGGGCAUAGCGGAUUGUUGUUGGCGUGCCGGGGUUGUCUGGGGCCCCGUUAACAAACCGGGCACAUUAUUAUUUGGCGAAUCUAACUACGCCAUGGCUGCCUAGUUCGCUAGGAAAGUGCCACGUCGCCUCACAGCUUUGUCUUCAAGUUGUGAAUGCGGCGUCGAUUAAAGAAGACUCGGUUCUCUGAUGUCUAUAAUGAGAACUUAAACUAAAUAGGCUGGCCCUGCCUGUGGCCUGUCGGUCGGCAGCGAGCGGGGUGAGAUUUAAAGACCGACUACGCACGUAGUCACCGGCCUGAUGUUAUGUUCGGACGGGGGUUCGAUUCCCCCCACCUCCACCA